GACGAACGCUGGCGGCGUGCUUAACACAUGCAAGUCGAACGGAAAGGCCCUGCUUUUGUGGGGUGCUCGAGUGGCGGACGGGUGAGUAACACGUGAGUAACCUGCCCUUGACUUUGGGAUAACUUCAGGAAACUGGGGCUAAUACCGGAUAGGAGCUCCUGCUGCAUGGUGGGGGUUGGAAAGUUUCGGCGGUUGGGGAUGGACUCGCGGCUUAUCAGCUUGUUGGUGGGGUAGUGGCUUACCAAGGCUUUGACGGGUAGCCGGCCUGAGAGGGUGACCGGCCACAUUGGGACUGAGAUACGGCCCAGACUCCGACGGGAGGCAGCAGUGGGGAAUAUUGCACAAUGGGCGGAAGCCUGAUGCAGCAACGCCGCGUGCGGGAUGACGGCCUUCGGGUUGUAAACCGCUUUCGCCUGUGACGAAGCGUGAGUGACGGUAAUGGGUAAAGAAGCACCGGCUAACUACGUGC
rnacentral:rRNA from 1 species